rnacentral:rRNA from 1 species
AUGGCCGAAUGCUUCAAUAGGGUGCUCAAAGGUGCAUGUGGAUUACCCGUGACGGCAAUAGUUCAAUACACAUUUGACAAGAUGAAUGCGUACUUUGUAAAGUACUCGAUGGAAACCGAUGCACAGAUACCGGGUGAGAACCCACGGAAGUACAAGUACAAGUUCCCACCCAAAGUUCAUGAAUGGUUGCUAUUUCAAUCACGGAAGGCAGACUCAGAAGAAGCUAUAUUAUAUGAUAAUGAGGAGUGGAAGUACGAAGUGAAAGAGCCAGGAGGAACCACAAACGAUGGCCGGCAACAUGGAGGUCGGGCUUUCAAGGUGUCGUUAACACAAUGUGAUUGCACUUGCGGGAGGCCAUUGUUGCUUCAUCUCCCAUGCUCACAUUUGUAUGCCGCCGGACGCGUUAGGAAUGUGGACAUCAAUCACCCACGCAGCGUGAGGGAGUCCGAGUUCUCAAUCAUGACGGUCAAGAAAACAUGGGCUCCCCGCUUUCACCCAUACUUUGACCAAUCACAAUGGCCGGAGUAUCAUGGAGUUCAACUAUGGCCGGAUCCG